UACGUAGGGUGCGAGCGUUGUCCGGAAUUAUUGGGCGUAAAGAGCUCGUAGGCGGUUUUGUCGCGUCUGCCGUGAAAGUCCCGGGGCUCAACUCCGGAUCUGCGGUGGGUACGGGCAGACUAGAGUGAUGUAGGGGAGACUGGAAUUCCUGGUGUAGCGGUGAAAUGCGCAGAUAUCAGGAGGAACACCGAUGGCGAAGGCAGGUCUCUGGGCAUUAACUGACGCUGAGGAGCGAAAGCAUGGGGAGCGAACAGG
rnacentral:rRNA from 1 species